CAAAGGGGAUGAUAUGUGUAGCUCAGCUAAAUAAUGAUCUGAAGUCAAUAGACAUGGUAACAGGUGGCUUUAGCUCUAUUAGGGUGCUAACAGAUGCAAUGGUACCCACAGAAAUCCUGCAGUGGCGACUCCGCAACGGUCUGGGCCCAGCUCUGGGGGCACUGAUCACCCACAGCAGUACCAACUACACCACAACCCUAAAUCCAGUGUGGAGGUGAGCCCUGGGCUGAAGGGGAUGCUGAAGAGCAAACCCUGCAGCAGUGGCUCUUGCCCAGCCCAGCAGGACAGGCGCCAACGCUGUGGGGUGAGCGCGGGGAGGGCUCACUCUGCAGCCUAUCCUCCCCCAGGCCUCCUUUCAGCACGAUGCUGGAUCAGGGUUGCAGUACCAAGAGGGAACGUCCUGCUGCAGGUGGUUGGUGCCCCAUCGCUGGGGCAAGGAGGGGGCAGUGCCAUGCACCCAUUGAACUGGGAGCUUACAUCCACCUCUGCAUGGUGACCAUAGCAUUUGAAAGGUGUAAAUUCCAAUGAAGGACACGGAUUGUUCAGGGUGCUGUAUGUGUAAUGAACUGAAGUUAAGAAGAGAUAUUUAAACUGAACAUCAGACAAAUGUUCUGACUUGGAAAUCGGUUAGUCUAUGGAAGAGUCUUCCAAGAAGUAUGAAAAAAAGCUUAAUUGAGACAUUUUAAAGGAUGUUUUUUCUCUAAAAAUAAAGAAUUAAUUAAGCUUCCUUUAGACUGGUUUCUAAUAAACAACCAAAAAACCAAAGUGUGAGUGGGUCAAAAAGUUGUUUCUUCAUAGUAAUAUUCCUUAUGAAGAAGCUUUGACUUCUAGGCCCAGAUCCUUAAAGAUAUUUAGGAGCCUCAGGGAUCUGAUGGAAGUUAAGAGCCUAAAUACCUUUGAGGAUCUGGGCCUACUGCCCUCUAAACCAUAUGCUUUAGAGUGGUGGUUCUCAACCAGGGACUGCAAGCAGGUUUCAGGAGGUCCGCCAGGCAGGACCAGUGUUAGACUUGCUUGGGCCCAGGGCAGAAAGCAGAAGCCCACCACAUGGGAGUGAAGUCCAGGGCCCUGAGCCCCACCACCCGGGCUGAAGCAGAAGCCUGAGCAACUUAGCUUCACAGGGGCCCCUAUGGCGUCAGGCCCCGGGCAAUUGCCCUGCUUGCUACCCCUCAACGCUGGCUCUAGCUUUUAUAUGCAGAAAACAUGGGGCUCUGGGAUAAGGUUCAGUGUAGCCACCAGACAGACAUCUUAGAGCUCAGUUUUGUUUCUGUAGUUGUGGCACAGAUGGGCCCUGGAGUUUUUACAGCAUGUUCUCAACCUUUUCAGAAAGAAAAAGAUUGAGAACCCCUGCCUUAGAGCACGUGCCACUUACAGUGUGCUGAUCAUGGAAAUUAUUUAGUUUAUCAUAGUUGUUUCAGCCUUGCUUUCCUGCCAAUCCCUUCACUCAGGGUAUGCAACUAUGUUCUUUCCUAUACUGAGGGAAAUUAAAUCUUAAUUAAAUUAAAAUAAAUCUGAAGGAUUUAUAUUAUUUUGUUGUUACUGUUGCCUAAGAAUUUGAUGUUAGCCUCAGAGACAAAGGGUCAUGCAUUGCUAUGUACCUUGCAAAAUUAACUACUGUGUUCAUGUAACAGACACUUUUACAAGAUGCUGUUAUGGAUAUCUGAGAUCAGGGCCAAAACUUAACUGUAUUACCUCCUCUACUUGUUUCCCUUGUGGAUUUUCUAGAGUGAUGUGUGUUUAGUUUCAAUAGCGAGGGUAAGUCAAUGAAAUAAAGACAGGA